GUUUGUCGCGUCGUCUGUGAAAUCCCGGGGCCUAACUUCGGGCGUGCAGGCGAUACGGGCAUAACUUGAGUGCUGUAGGGGAGACUGGAAUUCCUGGUGUAGCGGUGAAAUGCGCAGAUAUCAGGAGGAACACCGAUGGCGAAGGCAGGUCUCUGGGCAGUAACUGACGCUGAGGAGCGAAAGCAUGGGUAGCGAACAGGAUUAGAUACCCUGGUAGUCCAUGCCGUAAACGGUGGGCGCUAGGUGUAGGGGGCUUCCACGUCUUCUGUGCCGUAGCUAACGCAUUAAGCGCCCCGCCUGGGGAGUACGGCCGCAAGGCUAAAACUCAAAGGAAUUGACGGGGGCCCGCACAAGCGGCGGAGCAUGUGGAUUAAUUCGAUGCAACGCGAAGAACCUUACCUGGGCUUGACAUGUACCGGAUCGGGCUAGAGAUAGUCUUUCCCUUGUGGUCGGUAUACAGGUGGUGCAUGGUUGUCGUCAGCUCGUGUCGUGAGAUGUUGGGUUAAGUCCCGCAACGAGCGCAACCCUUGUCUUAUGUUGCCAGCACGUUAUGGUGGGAACUCAUGAGAGACUGCCGGGGUUAACUCGGAGGAAGGUGGGGAUGACGUCAAAUCAUCAUGCCCCUUAUGUCCAGGGCUUCACACAUGCUACAAUGGUCGAUACAAUGGGCAGCGACAUCGUGAGGUGAAGCGAAUCCCUGAAAGUCGGCCUUAGUUCGGAUUGGGGUCUGCAACUCGACCCCAUGAAGUCGGAGUCGCUAGUAAUC
rnacentral:rRNA from 1 species